rnacentral:rRNA from 1 species
AGCGGAGGAAAAGAAACCAACAGGGAUUGCCCUAGUAACGGCGAGUGAAGCGGCAACAGCUCAAAUUUGAAAUCUGGCGUCUUCGGCGUCCGAGUUGUAAUUUGCAGAGGGCGCUUUGGCAUUGGCAGCGGUCCAAGUUCCUUGGAACAGGACGUCACAGAGGGUGAGAAUCCCGUACGUGGUCGCUAGCCUUUACCGUGUAAAGCCCCUUCGACGAGUCGAGUUGUUUGGGAAUGCAGCUCUAAAUGGGAGGUAAAUUUCUUCUAAAGCUAAAUACUGGCCAGAGACCGAUAGCGCACAAGUAGAGUGAUCGAAAGAUGAAAAGCACUUUGGAAAGAGAGUUAAAAAGCACGUGAAAUUGUUGAAAGGGAAGCGCUUGCAGCCAGACUUGCCUGUAGUUGCUCAUCCGGGUUUCUACCCGGUGCACUCUUCUAUAGGCAGGCCAGCAUCAGUUUGGGCGGUUGGAUAAAGGUCUCUGUCAUGUACCUCUCUUCGGGGAGAACUUAUAGGGGAGACGACAUGCAACCAGCCUGGACUGAGGUCCGCGCAUCUGCUAGGAUGCUGGCGUAAUGGCUGUAAGCGGCCCGUCUUGA